UCACCCGUGGCUAGGUUUUCGGCCGCCACCCCUAACUUCAUCGGGAUCUGCCAAAUCCGGCGACGGCGAGGCCAGAGGUGGCCGGAUCUGGCACCGGUCAACAUGGUUGUGGAUGGGAGGACGACGAUGGCAGGAGGGGCGGACCUCCAUGGGACGGGUCGCCACCAAGGAGAUGGAGCUCCUUCUCCCCUACCACGCAACCUCCCUCCCAGCGCCAACAGAGCGCCGGCUACCAUGACGCGACAGCGCUGUUGCAAGCCUCGCAGGGCUGUGCAUCUCGUCGUCUGCCGCGCCCUACCAGGAGCUCCAUCACCCACGCAUCUCCUCUGAGGAGGGGACGGUGGCUUGUGGGUCGGCGUGGUUGGCUCCAGCACCCCGCCGACCUAUGACUCCACAUGCGUCGCCGUCUUCGACCACAGGUCCAUGUCCUCGAUCUGCUUCCUUUGCUUCCCGUAGGUUUCUGCGUAGAUCUGGCCGUUUGAUUUGAUGCGGAUGCGAAUUUGGAUCUCCAUCACUGUAGGUUUCCCGUAGGUUUCCUGUUCGUACUUGCGUUCGAAUUAGCAUUGAAUCCCUCAGUUUAUCCCUACUCUGCUUCUUCUCUUCCCCUAACUCCAUCAAGGUGAUGGAUUGGUACAGCGACCUACUCCCCUGCUUCCUAUGUUAAUUUGGUGUGCGAUGUGGAUGUGAUCUAUUAUUAAAUACGUAUUUUGGUUCAACUCUGACUGAAUAAACUUGUUGGUUCAGUUUCUUGUAUGAAGAAUAAAUAUAGCGAACACCUUUUCUUUUCCUUUUUGUUCAAGAUUCAUUUCUAAUUCUAAACCAAACCGAAAUUGCAAAUACUAUAGAAUGAAUGAAGCAGGGAGUCCUUCCUUCUUUGGCAGCUGGUACAAUUCCUUCUCAAGGUGCUGGUGUUUGUGGAGGUGAUUGACCUCUUUUUUUUACUCUGUGUAUCAAGGUGCAGCUGCUGAGCAUUGAUAGGUGUUGUUUGGUGUACCUCGACAUGAUUUCCAGGACAUGAAAUGAUUUGCAGAGUACAAGGGUGGGCUCAUCGAGGUGUGUGGUGGUAGGCUCGCUCGGCCCCAGCGUCUUCUGUUGAACGGACAUGCCGCCUCUUUGGCGUCGGCUACAUGAGAGCCAUGGCCAAAUAAAAGAUGUUGUUCUCGGUGGAGAUGCACUUGAGGAUGAGCACAGAGAGAAAUUUAAUCAAAUCCAAAAGCUGUGAGUAGACGUCAACGAUACCUACUUGUUUGGCUGCUACAGUGAUGCAUGCGCCGGUCAAGCAAGCACACAUGCAUAUACGUUCCUACUAUAUUCCUGCUAUAUACGUACAUGUGUAAAUGUAUUUCUGAGAGAUGUGUUAUGUAAACCUGGGAGAUGUGUUAUGUGAUGUGAUAUGAUGGAUGAUUUGAAUUCGACAUGGAGUUUUCCUGAUUUGAAUAUGAAACAACUUUGUCCAAA